rnacentral:rRNA from 1 species
UACGUAGGGGGCAAGCGUUGUCCGGAAUUAUUGGGCGUAAAGAGCGUGUAGGCGGUCCGGUAAGUCAGCUGUGAAAGUCAAGGGCUCAACCCUUGAAUGCCGGUUGAUACUGUCGGGCUAGAGUCCGGAAGAGGCGAGUGGAAUUCCCGGUGUAGCGGUGAAAUGCGCAGAUAUCGGGAAGAACACCCGUGGCGAAGGCGGCUCUCUGGGACGGUACUGACGCUGAGACGCGAAAGCGUGGGGAGCGAACAGG